rnacentral:rRNA from 1 species
UACGUAGGAGGCAAGCGUUGUCCGGAAUCACUGGGCGUAAAGCGCGUGUAGGUGGAAGAGGAAGUCUGCUGUGAAAGCGCCUGGCUUAACCGGGCGAGGUCGGUGGAAACUCCUCAUCUGGAGGGCGGUAGAGGGGGGUGGAAUUCCGGGUGUAGUGGUGAAAUGCGUAGAGAUCCGGAGGAACACCUGUGGCGAAGGCGGCCCCCUGGGCCCGCACCUGACGCUGAGACGCGAAAGCGCGGGGAGCGAACGGG